GAGUUUGAUCCUGGCUCAGAUUGAACGCUGGCGGCAGGCCUAACACAUGCAAGUCGAACGGUAACAGAAAGCAGCUUGCUGCUUUGCUGACGAGUGGCGGACGGGUGAGUAAUGUCUGGGAAACUGCCUGAUGGAGGGGGAUAACUACUGGAAACGGUAGCUAAUACCGCAUAACGUCGCAAGACCAAAGAGGGGGACCUUCGGGCCUCUUGCCAUCGGAUGUGCCCAGAUGGGAUUAGCUUGUUGGUGGGGUAACGGCUCACCAAGGCGACGAUCUCUAGCUGGUCUGAGAGGAUGACCAGCCACACUGGAACUGAGACACGGUCCAGACUCCUACGGGAGGCAGCAGUGGGGAAUAUUGCACAAUGGGCGCAAGCCUGAUGCAGCCAUGCCGCGUGUAUGAAGAAGGCCUUCGGGUUGUAAAGUACUUUCAGCGGGGAGGAAGGGAGUAAAGUUAAUACCUUUGCUCAUUGACGUUACCCGCAGAAGAAGCACCGGCUAACUCCGUGCCAGCAGCCGCGGUAAUAC
rnacentral:rRNA from 1 species